AUCAUUGUCGAAACCUGCCCAGCAGAAUGACCAGCGAACAUGUUCACUACUCGGGCGUUGUCUGGAGCCUUGUGCACCCGCUCGUCCCGAGCCCCUUGCAAAAUAACAAAACCCGGCGCGAAAGCGUCAAGGAACAUAACUUCAAUGUGUGCCUUCCGGUGCGCGGUAAUUCCGUGCACGGUUGUGAUGCCAUGUACUAACAAUAAACGACUCUCGGCAACGGAUAUCUCGGCUCUCGCAUCGAUGAAGAACGUAGCGAAAUGCGAUACUUGGUGUGAAUUGCAGAAUCCCGUGAACCAUCGAGUUUUUGAACGCAAGUUGCGCCCAAAGCUUCUGGCUGAGGGCACGUCUGCCUGGGCGUCACGCAUCGCAUCUCCCCCACACCCACCUUUUGGGAAGGGGAAGGAGGAUGGCUUCCCAUGCCUCACCGGGCACGGUUGGCCUAAAAACGGAGCCUUAGGCAUGAGCUGCCGCGGCGAUAGGUGGUGAACAAGGCAUCUGCCAUGCAAGCAACCCGUCGCGCAGCACUUUGUCAUUGGAGCUCGAAGGACCUUGUGAGUUGUCUU
rnacentral:rRNA from 1 species